CAGAUUUGGCAAAUCAUUUUGUUUGUUGAACAUUUGAAGGAGAAUAAUACUCUGUAUGACCACACGUGUUUCAGUGACAAAGGAGCACAGUAGCAGAUUCUGGCUGCACUGACCUUUUGUUCCUGGUCUCGUGGUUAAGUUUUUGAAAACAAACAAGGGAUUUGUGGAUAAUUAGUCUUCACUGGGAGCCACCGGUCUUCUAAGGAACUCAAAAAUCGUAUCAUGGGAGGGAGCGCUAAAGAUACUCUUCAGAUGAUUCGGUCUGGAGAGAUGAUUCAGAGAACGCGACAAUCCUCCUCAAAUAUCCGAAGAAGUUGCAGAUGGAAGACAGAUUAAAUUUCUACGAGUAGCAAAGGAGCACAUAAUUGGGUUCUUGGGUGGAAAUCACAAGAGACAGAUUUCAACUUCAUUAUAAGGAGACUUUAUUUAUGGAUAUCGCAAUCUAAUUUUAUGUAAUUUUCACAUCAUGAAAUAUUCUUUAAAAAAUUUUUUCGAUCAUUUACAACUGUAAAAACUCCUCUUAGCUCAUGGGUCAUACUAAAACCCAGGUGGGCUGAAUUUGACCAUGGGUCAUAGUUUGCCAGUCCCUGUUCUAGAGUAUUUUAGCCAAUUCAUAUAUCUUGAAUAGUACUAUUUUCACUGGUGAGAAUCUAUUUCUAACUUCAUUUAUGCUGAUAAUUACAAAUUUCACUAUUGUGCUAAAUAAAGAAAUGUCUGUUGUCGAUCAGAGAACAAGGUCACUAAAAUGCUCAUAGUAGCUAUCUCCGGAGUUGGGGCCUUUUUGAUAAAAUUCUAGCUGCUUCCCCCACUCCCUUCUGCCAUUUCAGUGUGAAAUCCUGAUCACGACAUCUGACUGCGCCAGGCUGUAUUUUAGCCUAACUAAUGCGUAGUGUCCCACUGUCCGCGCUGAAGCCGUUUAGAGGGUACAGAGAGAUCAUAACCCUCUAAAAUGCAGAGACACUGAACUCUUUUUUUUUCAUUCAACUCUAUAAGCACUGGGGCAUACUUUGCAUAAUUACAAAGGCCUGUGAAUCUCUCAAACAAAAGAACCGUCCAUCUGGGCAACUAUUUUUAGAAACCGGCUAUAAUUUUUCAUUUUUUCCCCCCGAAUGGCAAUUUUUCCUUCACGUCGCACAUCAAAACAAACUCCUCAAGGUCAGAUGGAAAAAAAGUGAAAGUAUUUGACUGGGUGUUUGACUUAAGUGACUAGUAAAUUCAAUCUUAAAUAUUAAUCUAAUAACCACUUUUAGGUACCAGCUGAAUUUUUCAUUCUGAAAUAAUUUCAGUUUUUUUCUGGGAUAAAUUUUCGCUUUUGCAAAUGUGCUCUUUGUGCAAAUUCUCUGAGUCAAGGUGUAAAACAUCCUUUUAGCCUCUUUUUAUUGAUCUCCUUCCCUCAAGCCGUCUCUCUUUUAGUUUAUAAAAGACAAACCAUAAAUUCCUUCAGUUUUUAAAAUUUUUUUCCUGCUCUUUCAUCCAUUAGUAGAUUUAACUCUGAAAACUGAAAUUACUUUUGAGUAAUAAAAUCGAAACCCUCCCUCCCGGUUCGAUAGUUUGAAAGUGUUUUUCACUUUGAGCUUAUUUCACCAGUGGACUGGCUAGUGCCACUUUGGAGGAGCUAAAGUGCAUAGGUGUCUGGCUAAGAGAGCAGAUGCCGUGGCUUAUUGCUGGAAACCCCCAACGACGUGCAAUUUGGCGUCUAAAUAGAAACUUGACAAUGAUUGAACCAUUGGGAUGACCUUCAGCUAAAUCAUUUAGAGCAGCACCGUUCUCAAACAUAAAAGGUGACAAUGUGUUGGCCUCUUUAUUUUCUUUGAAAUUAAAACAAAUCUGUGUUUUGUGAAAUAAAGGAUGGG
rnacentral:lncRNA from 1 species